rnacentral:rRNA from 1 species
GACGUAGGGGGCCAGCGUUGUUCGGAAUUACUGGGUGUAAAGGGUUCGUAGGCGGUGCGGCAAGUCGGGAGUGAAAUCUCUGGGCUUAACCCAGAGGCUGCUUCCGAAACUGCUGUGCUUGAGUGUGGGAAAGGCGCGUGGAAUUGCAGGUGUAGCGGUGAAAUGCGUAGAUAUCUGCAGGAACACCCGUGGCGAAAGCGGCGCGCUGGACCACUACUGACGCUGAGGAACGAAAGCUAGGGGAGCAAACAGG